UACGGAGGGGCGAGCGUUGUCCGGAUUUAUUGGGCGUAAAGAGCUCGUAGGCGGCUUGUCGCGUCGAUCGUGAAAACUUGGGGCUUAACCCUGAGCUUGCGGUCGAUACGGGCAUGACUGGAGUUCGGCAGGGGAGACUGGAAUUCCUGGUGUAGCGGUGAAAUGCGCAGAUAUCAGGAGGAACACCGGUGGCGAAGGCGGGUCUCUGGGCCGAUACUGACGCUGAGGAGCGAAAGCGUGGGGAGCGAACAGG
rnacentral:rRNA from 1 species